rnacentral:rRNA from 1 species
UGCUAUGAUCAAGCGCUCACGUGAGGUCCUUGCAGGUAGCUGACGAGCGGCGGACGGGUGAGUAAUGCAUAGGAAACUGCCCAGUAGUGGGGGAUAGCCCGGGGAAACCCGGAUUAAUACCGCGUACGCCCUUCGGGGGAAAGCAGGGGAUCUUCGGACCUUGCGCUAUUGGAUGUGCCUAUGUCGGAUUAGCUAGUUGGUGGGGUAAAGGCCUACCAAGGCGACGAUCCGUAGCUGGUCUGAGAGGAUGAUCAGCCACAUCGGGACUGAGACACGGCCCGAACUCCUACGGGAGGCAGCAGUGGGGAAUAUUGGACAAUGGGGGCAACCCUGAUCCAGCCAUGCCGCGUGUGUGAAGAAGGCUUUCGGGUUGUAAAGCACUUUCAGUGAGGAGGAAAACUCUGCCACUAAUACUCGUAGGGCUUGACGUUACUCACAGAAGAAGCACCGGCUAACUCCGUGCCAGCAGCCGCGGUAAUACGGAGGGUGCAAGCGUUAAUCGGAAUUACUGGGCGUAAAGCGCGCGUAGGUGGUUUGAUAAGCGAGAUGUGAAAGCCCCGGGCUUAACCUGGGAACGGCAUUUCGAACUGUCAGGCUAGAGUAUGGUA